rnacentral:rRNA from 1 species
UACGGCGAGCGAGGAGGAAGAGCCCAGCACCGAAUCCUUCACCAUUCCGGUGACAGGAAAUGUGGUGUUUAGGCCGUACCUUGUCCCGAUACGUCUCUCCUCAAGUCCACUUGAUUGUGGCCCCAGGCCCAGAGAGGGUGUAAGGCCCGUGGAGGCGAGAUGUUCGGUACCUGGUGCGUCCUUAGAGUCGGGUUGUUUGGGAAUGCAGCCCUAAGCGGGUGGUAAACUCCAUCCAAGGCUAAAUACCAGCACGAGUCCGAUAGCGAAGAAGUACCGCGAGGGAAGGUUGAAAAGAACUUUGAAGAGAGAGUUCAAGAGUACGUGAAACCGCUCAGAGGCAAACUGGUGGAACUGAAAUGGCUCCGAGGAAUUCAGCCGUUGGUGAUUAUCACAGCUGUUGGUGUUCGAUUUAACGACGGCGCCUUCAGUUGAUGUUGGCAUCAUAGGUGCACUUUCCUCGUUUGUGGGCCCGACCACGAUCGGUGAGCUGUAAUAUCUGUCUGUCGUACCGGGAAGGUAGCGCCUUCUUCGGAUUGCGUAUUAUAGACUGGUGCACGGAGCAGUAUGGCGCACUGAAUGAUAACGCCUGCCCUUCUGGGCUCAUAUGUUGGUUGUUUUGUUGGCGAGUUCUGGCUUCACUACCUCGGUAGAGUGGUUGGUCUCUGUUGGCUUUACGGUCGGCCUCUAUGAUUGGCGUUGGUGAAUCUGUGGUUGUGAAGUAGGUAGUCCACCUGACCCGUCUUGAAACACGGACCAAGGAGUCUAACAUGUGCGCGAGUCAUUGGGUUUACGAAACCUAAAGGCGCAGUGAAGGUGAAGAUCUGCUUUUUGCAGAUUGAGGUGGGAUGCUGGGUCACGCGCCCAGCCGCACUACCGGCCCGUUCCACUUGUAUCUCAAGGGAGCGGAGCAAGAGCGUACACGUUGGGACCCGAAAGAUGGUGAACUAUGCUUGCGCAGGUGAAGCCAGAGAAA